CACGGAUGACCACCGUGGCGCCUUGGUAGCAGUUGAUGGCGACAUAUUAUAACAAGGCUUCGUUUAUUUCAACAAACCAUUCGCAUUUGUUAUUUCGUCGUAAGCAAACCGUGCAGAAUAUAUUGUCGAAACGUGUAAAAGAUAUUAGUAAACAGCAUUUGCUCAUUCUAUAUAUAAUAAUAAGGUAUGUGCACACUUCUAACUUCAAUUAUAUGAUUACAAAGCAGCAUUUACGAUUAUUUUCUAAGGUGUGUUUAUAAUAAUAUUCGUAGAUUAGCCCUCAAAGAUAUGGAUGCAAACACAGUGCACAGUUAGAUGCAAGAUUUGUUCUCAUUUUCUUUUUAUUGAUGUUCUAAUAAAAAUGUUUAAUCGUUCAAUG
rnacentral:misc_RNA from 1 species